CAGCCUGUGGCCAGGUUUGACCUUGUACACCAUAACCUGCAGGCCAUUGAUUUUGCGCUCCAGGAAAUGCACCAGCCACUGAGGGGUUAGAUGCUGCAACAGCAGAGUUUGCCAGCUUUGUCUUCUCAGAAACUAAAUAAUCGUCAGCCUGACGUUUCUUUGAAUCUGAAGAGGUUCUAUGGCGUAAGAAGAGCUUAGCAUGCCGAUCAUC
rnacentral:lncRNA from 1 species